AGACACAAAUCCAAAGAGCUGCGUUGUGGCAAUCAAAGAACCUCUCCUUCCAUUCCAUAUAUUAUCCGUCUGCUAGUAAUCCAAAAUAAAUCCACCACACAACACCCUCUUUCUUUUUUCUUUUACAACUCUUCAAAUAUCUAACCAGACUGAAUUUCAUUGUUUUUGAGAAGAUCCCAUCAACAUCCUCCGUUUUUUUUUUUUUUUUUUUUUUUAUGUUUUAUGAGAUGAAGUAUGCGCAAAAUCCUCUCCACAACAGAACCAUCACCGUAGCAUAUGGAAGGCAAUGAAAACACCACUCACAAGGAUUACUACAAAAUUUUGGAGGUUGAUUAUGAUGCAACAGAUGAGAAGAUAAGACUAAAUUACCGAAGGCUUGCAUUGAAGUGGCAUCCUGAUAAGCACAAGGGGGAUAAUGCAGUUACUACCAAAUUUCAAGAGAUCAACGAAGCUUACAAUGUAUUGAGGGAUCCAGAUAAACGCUUCGAUUAUGACUUAACUGGAAUAUAUGAGAUUGAUAAGUAUACUUUGCGGGAAUAUCUGACCAGAUUUAAAGGAAUGAUACUUACGUGCAAUGGUCUUGGUAUUGGUAAUACAUCAAUAUGAUGGGAUGUCAAUGGAGUUCUCCUGUCAUAUGGAACCGUAAUUAGAAGGAUGCCUAUAUGGUUUAUGGUGAAUUUACCGGAAUUGAAAUUGUGGGGAUGCAUGAAUGAUCAUAUUGGUAAUAUUUUCUUUAAGAAAUACUGUGGAAGAAAUGAAAGUUAGAGUAAUCUAGUUAUAGUAUAGUGAUGAAGGCGAAAACAAAUACAGGAUAAAAAUUGCUGGUAUCUUCUUAUCUGGACCUCGAUUUCAGAAUAAAAUCCAGGAUCUCCACUAAAUCAACUUUUUUAAUUGGAGUGGGAAGCCCAUGUCCUAAUUGUCUGAAUUUCUUAACCAGGAAACCCCCUAGAUUUUCAAUCAAGUUGGACAGAGUUGACUUAUGCAAAGUCGCCACCCAAAGCUUCUUUUGUAGUGGUCAGUGGCCACUUAUAUGACACUUUUUCUGUCCUGCUAAUUAAAGUCUCCAAUGGGUUAGUACAUAUUAGCUUGAUGGAAUAGGUCAGGCUAGUUAGAAUGAUUUGUUUUCUUGAUGUUGGGAUCAGAAAUAGAAGGGGUGGGAAACACAAAUUUAUAUGCAACUGAUCACAACUGAAGUUGUUUCAAAACCUCAAGUAUUUGUUGCAAUUUGAAGAGGAUGGUGGUUGAGAACAAUAUCGAGGGAAGUGUAAGGGUUUAUGGUGGAAAUAAGGAUAUGAGUUUUUUUUUUAUUAACAGUACCGGUUUCAGUGUGAUUUCUUCAAUAUAACAUUUGCUUGUCAUUGGGUUGUACAAAUACCUCUUAAUGUGGUCAAUCGAUUCAUAAACAAAGUUGGUGUAAAAUUCUAAGACUAAGGAGUUCUUGGCAGGAAGAUGUACAAAUCCAGCACAAUAAAAACUUAUGAUGGUCCAAAGUUCAGUGUUUAAGUUACAAAUUCAAGUUUUAGCAAACCUCCUUUUCAUCUUUCUUAGUUUUCAUUAAUGCAUGGCUUUUGAAAAUCGAAGAGCAGAUGCAAAAGAUAUAUAUAAUUUUUUAAUGGCUCGUAAACUUGUUUUGUAACUACUGCUUCUUUUGAAGUUUAGAAGCUCAAUCAAAUUUUGAUCUGUAUAUGAGUAAGUGAAAAUCUUCUGCAUGAUCGUUCAGUUCCAUCCUUGUUAGGUUUUUAUGCUAUAGUAUGGUCAUUGUUGGUGAUUGUACCAUGCUUGAAGCCUUGAUACUAGGCAAGCACUUUUGAACUUAGGAGAUAUAGGCAAUCGAAUCUGGAUCAUAAGUUUAAAGUGUCAUUUAGAGGUAUGAACCAUGAACUUUCUCUUGAAACUUUACAUGAUAAACUCCUGGACUUAAUCCCUGAUGGAAUUCUCAUCCGAGUUAAAACCCCAUGUUCAUUUGUUAGCAGUUUCCCUUGUCAAUGUUUGAACCAAUAUUCUGAAACUGCAUCAGUGAGCUAUUUGCCAUCUUAAGAAUUCUAUUCGACAAAGCAACCUUCUUGCAACUGUGGCCAUUUUGUGGUUAAUCUAAAAUUUUGAAUAACUUUCAUUGUAUAGCUUCCAUUAUUAGUUACAAACACUGUUAUGGUUCAGGACCCAGCAACUGACUGAAAUCAAAGAGUUUGCAGAGAAAUAAGGAGCAAAUCCAGUAUUUAACCUUUGGAUGAAAACAUGGAUACCAUUGUGUGAAAACAACAUGGGAACAGGUUCGCCAUAAAUGAAGGUGGAGGAGCUUCUUGCCAUGUUACAUCAAGGAUGAAAACUUGAAUCCAAAUUAUUGCCAGCAUUCUUGUAUCUUGUUUUUCUUUAUCAUACAUUCCAUGCACAGUCAAGUAUGUCAUUAGCCUAUUGAUUUUGUUUUCAAAUGAGCACAAAGUCACUACUUUGUUUUGUUCC